UUAACGUGGCGGUCUGCCCUGGGUGUGUCGCUGGAGCUCCCUUCGGCGUCAUUGCUAGGUCCCCGAGUUUAACUUUUCAGAACCACUCAUUUGUCACUGUUCGCCGGCAGACGGUCCGGUGCCACACACCACCGCUAUUUUCUUAGAUUGUUUUAUUGGGUGUAUGGUUUUUUGAGCAUGAGCGAGUCAUCGAUUCGGGUCAGCUAGGGAAAUAGAAUACAGUCUAGGUUUUUAACAGUAUACCAGCAGCCCUAAUUUCAUAAAUACAUGUUUUUUUUUUUUUUUGUUGUUCUUUUGCUUGAACCAGAAUUUCGUAUUUAAUAGGAAAUCGACUUAGAUUAUUAGAAAAACAUCUUGAGAAAUACUGUUACUGACGUUACAUUCUGACUUUAGAAUUCGUAAUGUUUUCCUCUGUAAUUUUACCGGUCUUUUUUUUUUUUUUUCCUCUUAACCUUCUAGAGUUAUUCGUUCCGAUUGCUGCCCUUUAAAAGUGUUAGUGUAUGUUCGUACAAGAGCGUGUGUGUCUGCACGCGCGCGCAUAUGUGGAUCCUUUAUAUGUACCUAAUUUAUCCUAAUUCAGUUCUUUUAAAUUCAUAGGUAGUUUGGAAAGCUAUGUGCAUUAAGUUCACUUUCCUGUGUUCACUUUUUGGCUUUAUAACUGUGCUGCUGACAUGUAGGUCAGAAAGGUAAACUUACUAGCACUUUUAUUUUAGAAAGGGAGGGAUGUGUAGAGCAUGGAGUAGUGGGGAAGAAAAACAGCCAAUUUCCUAAUUUUUGUUCCCUCUAACCUUAUUAUCCGUUAUCUUUAACAUUACCAAUUUUCCUCGAGCUUUAUGCUAAGACAUGGAGCGUCCAAAGCUUUCCUGUUUUAUGAUGGGUUUAUACACCCGACUUUUACUGUUUAAAAUAGUUUAGUAGCACUAAGCUCUUUCAUUACUAGCUGUAAUUCCUAUGAUGUAAUGAUGGCUUAAUGUAUUAAUUUUCUGUAAAAUUUACAUCUGACAUUUGAUUGGAAGACUAAAAAAUAUUUAUAUGGAGACCUUUAGGCCAGAUUUGCUUUUUCUGGAUGUCGUGAUAUUAAGUGGGCAAGGAAUAUUUAAAGAAACAACAAAUUUUGGUUCCUGAGUCCUGACUAUCACCCUGUCUUGGUUUAGAAGCAUCUCAGUAUUGUUUUGGAGAAAAAUCACAGGUAGGUAACCUUUUAAAAUCGGUGACAUUUCUUUCAUGAAGAUUAGAAGACCUUUGCCCAUUAUUACUUGCAAACAUGAGCCAUCCAUGGAUAUUUCUGCUUUCUGUAUUAAUAAACCAAGAAUAUUUAAAUACAUAUAAACAUGUUUUUUUUUUUAAAGGUUACAUAAAUGAGACUUGUAAUUUGUGUUGGUGAAACAAAUGAAAAUAGAGUUUAGUAAAAAAAAAAAUCACAUAAAUUUGAGGACAAAAGUCCUGUGGCAAUUCAAAGGUUUUCUUGGUUUACUCUGCAUUAGAAAGGUGUCGGUGAUUAUCCUUGCCUCCUGCCAGCCUUUACCUUUUUGUCUGUUCAUUUGUUACUACUUGGGGAUUAUGCCAUAUACUCGUAUUUGUAUGUACUUACCGCAAAAAGAGAAGAUAAAUAUCCAUUGUGCUUAUGUGACUUUUAUUUCUCUGACAGCUUGUCAGAAUCAGCUGUCUUGCAGAUUGUUUUUUAGAUACUGCACUUAAUUUGAGAACAAGCUGGGUUUGAUUCUCUGCAUUAUUGUUCUUAUGAAAUAUCAGUAAACCACCCUAACAUCAGUCUACUGUUGAUAACUACCAUUUUAAACUUUGAAAUCAGAUGAGAGUUAACAUAAUUAGCACAGUGGCUUAGAUUAGUAAAGUCAUCUCAUCUUCAUUUUUGGUUGCAGCUAUGGUUUAAAAGUCAUUUUAAAAUCAUUCUGUCUUAGCUGGGUGCAGCACAUGCUUUUAAUCUUAGGUAGAGGCAAGUGCAUUUCUGUGAGUUUGGGGCCAGCCUGGUCCACAAAUCAAGUUCCAGGACAGCCAGGACUGUUACACAGAGAAACUCGGUCUUGAAAAACCCUCCUAAAAAAAAAAAAAAAAAAAAAAAAGAAAGAAAGAAAGAAAAGAAAAAAAAAAUCACCUUCUCUCUCCUUUCUCUUUUUGGUACUGAGUAUUGAACCCAAGGCUCUACUACUGAAACUAUGUCACUGGCUGAUAUAAAAUUUUGCCUGGAGAGAGGAUCUUGCAAAGUGCUCUCAAUUCUGUCUCAGCCUCCGUUAGGACUGUAGGCAUUUGGCACCAUACUCAAAACAAAUGCAGGUUUUUUUUCUUUCUUUUCUUUUGUCUUUUUUUUUUAAGAUUUACUUUUAUUAAUUUUAGUUAUGUAUGUGUGUGUAAGCAUGUAUUCACAUGAGUGCCCCAGGAAAUCAGGGAUGUCAGAUUCCCCAGGGCUUGAGUUACAAGGCCUGCUGACCUGGGUGCUGGUAAUCAAAUUCGGGUCCUUCGGAAGAACAGUAUGCACACACAACAGCAGAGCCAUCCUCUCUAUCCCAAACAGUUCCUUGUUUAUUUUUCCUUCUACCACUGAGCUAUUGUAUUGGCAAGUGGUACAUAAAAAUAGUUAGUAGUAACAUCCUGAAAAACUUUAGAAUUAGAUUGGGUAAGCAGGUAUUGAUUUGAUCCUUAUUAUGCUAUAGAAGUGGGAAGGAUUCUGUCUAAGAGAUAGUUAAUGACCUAGCUAAAUUGAUUUUACUCCUUUUCGGUUGUUAGGUUACUUUUUGUUGGUUAUUGAAUUUAUUCCCUUUGCAGAUGUCUGCAAUGCCUUUAGUAUUUAUUUGGUUUUUAUUACUAUAGUUGUACCUUUAGGUGGCUCACCUGGAAUAUAGAUAAUGGCACUUAUGCACAUUGAAUGCAUAAGUGGACAGGGAGAAUAAAUCUGGCUUCACCUAGAAGGUGUGUUGAAUUGGGGUCAAGUUGAAGAACAGAAGCCUAGAUACAAAGCUGCAUAAAUUGUGAUGAGCAGGGAAAAGGUAAGAUUGGAAAGGUAAGCACAGGUCACAUAAUAAAGGCAUUCAUUCUGAGGACUUUGGGCUCUAAUGAAAAUUAAAGAGAAUGAUUUGAAGUUUUAUAACCUAAAGAUUACUUUGGCAGCAGCAUGGGCGUGGCUUGUGGACGAUAGAAAACCCAAAAUACCUUAUCAAUUCAGAUUCCUCUCAUGGGCAGUAAAACAGUGGGAGUACGUUAGAAUGUUUUCAAAUGAAAAAAAGACUGAAUUCUGUCGACUGCAGAUAGAACACCAUUUCAAGAGUUGAAGAAAAAGGAGUUAGGAAAUAUUAACCAAUGUAGAUAAAUGAGGAGACAUGAGAGUUACAGAAGCUGAGACAACAGUGGUGUACAGUGUUACAUGCUGCAGAGAAAUCAGAAACUAAUAAAGAGAAGAUUUCUUCCUGAUUA